AUUGAACGCUGGCGGCAUGCUUUACACAUGCAAGUCGAACGGUAACAGGCCUUCGGGCGCUGACGAGUGGCGAACGGGUGAGUAAUGCAUCGGAACGUGCCCAGUCGUGGGGGAUAACGCAGCGAAAGCUGCGCUAAUACCGCAUACGAUCUAUGGAUGAAAGCGGGGGAUCGCAAGACCUCGCGCGAUUGGAGCGGCCGAUAUCAGAUUAGCUAGUUGGUGGGGUAAAGGCCCACCAAGGCGACGAUCUGUAGCUGGUCUGAGAGGACGACCAGCCACGCUGGAACUGAGACACGGUCCAGACUCCUACGGGAGGCAGCAGUGGGGAAUUUUGGACAAUGGGCGCAAGCCUGAUCCAGCAAUGCCGCGUGCAGGAUGAAGGCCUUCGGGUUGUAAACUGCUUUUGUACGGAACGAAACGGCCCUUUCUAAUACAAGGGGCUAAUGACGGUACCGUAAGAAUAAGCACCGGCUAACUACGUGCCAGCAGCCGCAGUAAAAC
rnacentral:rRNA from 1 species